UAGGGAAUCUUCCGCAAUGGACGCAAGUCUGACGGAGCAACGCCGCGUGAGUGAAGAAGGUUUUCGGAUCGUAAAACUCUGUUGUCGGAGAAGAACACGUAAGCGAGUAACUGCGCUUACCAUGACGGUACCCGACCAGAAAGCCACGGCUAACUACGUGCCAGCAGCCGCGGUAAUACGUAGGUGGCAAGCGUUGUCCGGAUUUAUUGGGCGUAAAGCGAGCGCAGGCGGUUCUUUAAGUCUGAUGUGAAAGCCCACGGCUCAACCGUGGAAGGUCAUUGGAAACUGGGGAACUUGAAUGCAGAAGAGGAGAGUGGAAUUCCAUGUGUAGCGGUGAAAUGCGUAGAUAUAUGGAGGAACACCAGUGGCGAAGGCGACUCUCUGGUCUGUUAUUGACGCUGAGGCUCGAAAGCGUGGGGAGCAAACA
rnacentral:rRNA from 1 species